rnacentral:rRNA from 1 species
CCACCCUGAACACGCCCGAUCUCGUCUGAUCUCGGAAGCUAAGCAGGGUCGGGCCUGGUUAGUACUUGGAUGGGAGACCUCCUGGGAAUACUGGGUGCUGUAGG